UGAGAAGUGCCUGAUUAAAGGGCAAUCUUGAUAGGAUUGAUUAAGUGUAAAUUUUCACCUUCUCAA
rnacentral:tRNA from 1 species